AUCUGCGCUCGGACCUGCAUGGUUCCCGGAAGCUUCCCCACCCGUGCUUUGCCGCUCCCUGGGGCUCGAGGGGCCGGGUGCAGAGGGGCUGUCCAGUUCCCCCAACACGGGCACAGUAUCCCGCGCUUAUCGUGUGUGCCAACCUGGAUGAAAGCGCGUUGUGGAGACCCUGCUUACAGGAAAAUUAAGUUGGAAGUGUGACCAGACAGAGCUUACAGCAGUCUUUGCCCCUGUUGGACUGUCUCCAGUUGGUGUGGCCAGAAUGGAGUUGGCGGUCACUACUUGCUGAAUCUGGUAAAUUGAUAGAGAAUCUCCUCAGUUUCAGGAGGUCCCAUUUAUUAAUUGUCGAUCUCAGUGUCUGUGCUAC